AAUGAACGCUUGCGAUAGGCGUAACACAUGCAAGUUGAACGUGUAUUAACACGUAGCGAACGGGUGCGUAACAUGUAGGAAUCUACCCUUACAUGAAGGGAAAUCCUUCUUCAAAGAUCAGUGAUCGUGUUUGGAUGAGCCUGCACAAGAUUAGAUAGUUGGUGUGGGAAUGGCGCACCAAGUCGAGGAUCUUUAGUUGAUCUUAGCGGAUGAUCAGCCACACUGGGACUGAGACACGGCCCAGGCUCCCAUGGGAGACAGCAGUGAGGAAUCUUGGACAAUGCACGCAAGUGUGAUCCAGCUAUAUCGCGUGAGUGAUGAAGGGUAUAGUGCUUGUAAAACUCUUUCAGCAAAUUCACAUUUGAUUUCAAAUGUGUGCAUAAUGACAUCUUUUGCAGAAGAAGCCCCGGCAAAUGUCUGUGCCAGCCGCCGCCGUAACAC
rnacentral:rRNA from 1 species